AAGGCGCUAGUCUAAUAAAGACACCUGAUUUCGACUCAGGCAAUUUUGGUGAAACUCCAUAGCCCCUUU
rnacentral:tRNA from 1 species